rnacentral:rRNA from 1 species
UACGUAGGGCGCAAGCGUUGUCCGGAAUUAUUGGGCGUAAAGAGCUCGUAGGCGGCUUGUCACGUCUGCUGUGAAAUCCCGGGGGCUCAACCCCCGGGCGUGCAGUGGAUACGGGCUGGCUAGAGGCAGGCAGGGGGAGAACGGAAUUCCCGGUGUAGCGGUGAAAUUCGUAGAUAUCGAGAGGAACACCGGUGGCGAAGGCGGCCAACUGGACGAAUACUGACGCUGAGACUCGAAAGCGUGGGGAGCAAACAGG